UGGGGAAUUUUGGACAAUGGGCGAAAGCCUGAUCCAGCAAUGCCGCGUGUGUGAAGAAGGCCUUCGGGUUGUAAAGCACUUUUGUCCGGAAAGAAAUGGCUCUGGUUAAUACCUGGGGUCGAUGACGGUACCGGAAGAAUAAGGACCGGCUAACUACGUGCCAGCAGCCGCGGUAAUACGUAGGGUCCAAGCGUUAAUCGGAAUUACGGGGCGUAAAGCGUGCGCAGGCGGUUGUGCAAGACCGAUGUGAAAUCCCCGAGCUUAACUUGGGAAUUGCAGUGGGGACUGCACGGCUAGAGUGUGUCAGAGGGGGGUAGAAUUCCACGUGUAGCAGUGAAAUGCGUAGAGAUGUGGAGGAAUACCGAUGGCGAAGGCAGCCACCUGGGAUAACACUGACGCUCAUGCACGAAAGCGUAGGGAGCAAACAGG
rnacentral:rRNA from 1 species